rnacentral:rRNA from 1 species
UACGAGGGGGGCAAGCGUUUGUUCGGAAUUAUUGGGCGUAAAGGGCGCGUAGGCGGUGCGGUAAGUCACCUGUGAAAACUCUGGGCUCAACUCAGAGCCUGCAGGCGAAACUGCCGUGCUUUGAGUGUGGGAGAGGUGCGUGGAAUUCCCGGUGUAGCGGUGAAAUGCGUAGAUAUCAGGAGGAACACCGGUGGCGAAGGCGGGUCUCUGGGCCGAUACUGACGCUGAGGAGCGAAAGCGU